rnacentral:lncRNA from 10 species
UAGACCAAGGUGGAUUUAAUGCAACGCUGGAAUCAGCUGAAUUUAUUGAUAUACGUGCAUUCAUCAGAGAUUCUGGAUUAAAUGUUUUAGUUUGGAUAGCUGCAAGUGGCUCUAUUAGGUUACUUUUUAAUUUACUUAUUUACUUGUUUGUUGCUUAUUUUUCCCCACUGCUGCAUGUGGCCAGGGAUUUUUAUCUGUUUUAUUUGCUGCUACAUUUUGGCAUCAGAAUCACACCUGAUAUACAAAAAAUAUUUCUGUGGCCUUCUCUGCUUCACCUCCUCCAUUUAACUUCUCAGUAGGAGUUCUUCAGAAAAGUUGAUGAGACUGAAUGAGUGAAUGGAAAAGAACCCAUUGGCUGAGAGUCAAAGAAGGAUGGUUUGCCAUUCCAGCUGCUCCAACUAAGACUUCCGAGGUUCAGUCUAGAGAGAAAUCAAGUCCUGUGUUUCCCGGGUUCACCUUGAACAAGUCAC